AUCUAGCUGAUGAGUUUCAAAUAGAAUGAAGCAUACGUCCUGGAU
rnacentral:hammerhead_ribozyme from 1 species